UCCGUAGGUGAACCUGCGGAAGGAUCAUUAGUGAAUCUAGGACGUCCAACUUAACUUGGAGUCCGAACUCUCACUUUCUAACCCUGUGCAUCUGUUAAUUGGAAUAGUAGCUCUUCGGAGUGAACCACCAUUCACCUAUAAAACACAAAGUCUAUGAAUGUAUACAAAUUUAUAACAAAACAAAACUUUCAACAACGGAUCUCUUGGCUCUCGCAUCGAUGAAGAACGCAGCGAAAUGCGAUACGUAAUGUGAAUUGCAGAAUUCAGUGAAUCAUCGAAUCUUUGAACGCACCUUGCGCUCCUUGGUAUUCCGAGGAGCAUGCCUGUUUGAGUGUCAUGAAAUCUUCAACCCACCUCUUUCUUAGUGAAUCUGGUGGUGCUUGGUUUCUGAGCGCUGCUCUGCUUCGGCUUAGCUCGUUCGUAAUGCAUUAGCAUCCGCAACCGAACUUCGGAUUGACUUGGCGUAAUAGACUAUUCGCUGAGGAUUCUAGUUUACUAGAGCCGAGUUGGGUUAAAGGAAGCUCCUAAUCCUAAAGUCUAUUUUUUGAUUAGAUCUCAAAUCAGGUAGGACUACCCGCUGAACUUAAGCAUAUCAAUAAGCGGAGGA
rnacentral:rRNA from 1 species